rnacentral:lncRNA from 1 species
AAAAAAUGUUGAAAACCCUAAAAUCAAACCCAGUUUCUCUCUCUUAUUCAACAUCUCCCCUAAACCCUAAAUUCAUGCUCUUUUCUCUCUCAUUCUAAAUCUAAAUAGCCAACCAGUGUCAUAGAUGAAUACCUUCAUUUUUCAGCCAUUUUGACGUUUAAAUGUGGGUCAAAAUGCUUGAUGAAUAUUUCUCACGCAACCACACUGAACUGAAAUAUCCAGUUGCUGAACGAAUACCUCCAUUUCCGGCCAUUUUGACGCUUAAACAUGGGUCGAAAAGCUUGAUAAAUAUUUCUCAUGACGUCACGCUGAACUCAAAUAUUCCGUUCGAUUCAAAUAAUUUUGCUUAGGGUUUUGGAUCAAAUCUCCCUUUUAGGUUUUUACACUGAAUAAUUUUCAAGGGAGGUGCUCAUCUUAUCUUGAUUCCUAUAUUUGUGUAUCAUGUGUUUUAG